UCCCUGGUAGUCCAGUGGUUAAGACUCUAUGCUUCCAAUGUAGGGAGCACAGGUUCAAUCCCUGGUUUGGGGAA